GAACUAUAAACUGACUACACAGCUCCCUGGCCCGGGAAGGCUAUGAAACAGGCAACAUGGACAAUUUAAAGGUGUACAACAUCCGAGGUUCCAUUUCACCCUCAGGCAGCACGGAGUGGACAAGAGAUGGGGUCUCACUUUGUCACCCAGGCUGGGCUCAAACUCUUGGCUUCAAGCGAUCUUCUCGCCUUGGUCUCCCAAAGUGCUGGGAUUACAGGCUUGAACUACUGUACUCGACUGACUUUUCCUAUUUCUAAUGUCAGCAUGAAGAACACAAGAAGUCAGCUUCAAAGAUAAUGAAAAAUAAAACCAAGAUUCUCUUCUUUGCUGAUGAAGUCAGGAAGGUGGAAAGGGCAAAGCAAGAACUCUCACUCUUACCCUAUGAGUAAUUUCAAUAGAAAUCAAAGGCGUUAACUUCUCGGGUCCUCAAUUUUUUCUUCUCUAAAAAGAAAGAAUUGUUUAAUAAAACUCAUCCAAGGCUACAAUCAUCAAUGGCAGCUAAAACCACUUAGUGAAAGAAUUUUUUUUUUAAUAAAAAAAGGACAUUGGAUGAUGUCUCAACUCCCAAGCACUUGAUGUUUGACUUGGGAGUGGUGCCCUCAGUCACACCUAAAACUAUCUGCGGCAGACCCUGUUCUUUUUGGCUGACACAAAUGCCAUUCCCAACCUCCUUCUCCUCCUGUCUUGUCUCAAUCGUAGAGUCUAGAAGAGCAAACAUUCACUUUGCAGCCUCCCUUGUACCAAGGAGUGGCCAUGAGACAAUUCUGCCCAAUGAAUCAGAAGAGGAAUUGUGUUGAGGAUUUCUGGAAAGACUACUUCUUUUCCCAAGAAAAAGUGACAGACGCAGUAGGGGCUGAGCAACUUCCGUGCCUCUUCCAGCCUUACGGAUGUGCUGUUGGUAGCUGUGACUGCCUUGCUACUACGAGGAAAAGGAAGGCCAAGAGAAUAGCAGAGACACUCGCUCUGAUGCCUUUGAGCCAAUGAAUCAAUGCCAGAAGCAGCUGACCUCCAGAGUUCUUGUUACAGGAUUAAAAUAAAUCUCUACUUAUUUGCCAUUGUCACUUUGGUUUGUUUGUUUGUUUACUUGUUGCCAAGCACAUUCCUAACUGAUACACUGUUCACCAG
rnacentral:lncRNA from 1 species